rnacentral:rRNA from 1 species
AGCAUAUCAGUAAGCAGAGGAAAAGAAAACAACAGUGAUUCCCUUAGUAACUGCGAGUGAAGCGGGAAAAGCCCAUCGUUUAAUCUCUCUGGACUAUGGACGGAGCGACAUGUAACGGUAUGGAUAGGUUCUCUACCACUUUGAGGUAAUCAAAGUCCUCCGGAUUGAGGCGCCAAAGAGGGUGACAGCCCCGUGUGUGAUUGCUUCAUAGUGGGUAUGUGGCCGAUUCCGAGAGUCGGGUUGUUUGGGAAUGCAACCUAAAGUAGGUGGUAAACUCCACCCAAGGCUAAAUAUUGGCACGAAACCGAUAGCGAACAAGUACUGUGAAGGAAAGUUGAAAAGAACUCUGAAAAGAGAGUUAAAAGUACGUGAAACCGCUAACGGGGAAGCGGAAGGCAGUGUCGAGAUUGAGUAAGUGAGUCAUUCUAAAUUAUCCAAUCCAAUGUUAUUUGGGUGUUUGGGGUGGCUAGCUUUGCUUGAUGCGUCAGGACUACUGGGGGGUCAUAGUGGAGAGAAGGACAUGGCCUCUACGAUAACAUGUUUACAUGAGUCGUAGUUGCUGUCUUUUAGACAACUUGUUGCCCUGGUAUUUAAAGAGUUGAGGCGUCGGUGGUUAUUUAUAUAACUAAGGGUUGGUGUGGUGCUUUCUAUGUUGGAUGGUCACAUUGUGGUCAUGUACCAGUAUAAGAGUGUCAUAGCUCAACAUCCGAUGCCAGCUCCUGACGUGAUACCGAA